GUGAAUCAUCGAAUCUUUGAACGCAUAUUGCGCCCUUUGGUAUUCCGAAGGGCAUGCCUGUUCGAGCGUCAUUAUCACCAUAUCAAGCUUGGCUUGUUGUUGGGCCCUUUGUCACCUGGUGACAGGUCCGAAAGACAAUGACCGGUGUCAUGCGGACUCCCUAUGCAAUGAGCUUAUAACAGCAUGCAUCUGGUGGUUGUGUGACCCGCUGGAAGCCUGAUUUACCACGGGCACCCCCUCUUUCUCAAGGUUGACCUCGGAUCAGGUAGGAAUACCCGCUGAACUUAAGCAUAUCAAUAAGCGGAGGA
rnacentral:misc_RNA from 1 species